rfam:Gossypium hirsutum cultivar TM-1 chromosome 16, whole genome shotgun sequence
UGUUAAAAAUUUCAUCUAUUUCCACUGUUUAAAACUAGCGUGGUUGAUAGAAUAACCAUGUCACGUACACCUCAUUUUUGAUGCAUAGAGACCAGUUUUUAACAGUAGAAAUGGAUAAAAUUUUUAAUA